UGCAGUGUAGCUUAAUGGCAAAGCCCCAAGCUCAUAACUUGGUAUAUGCGAGUACCCUUUGGGAAGCCGCUCCGCGUCUACAACUCUCGCCACUGCGACCA
rnacentral:tRNA from 3 species